GGCCCGCCCGGCUCAUUUCAGCUGGGCGGCUUCGGCGGUACCUCGCGCAUUAUCAGCUACGGUGCUCGCACUGGCGGCGGGGGCGGAGGCCUAACUUGCGAAGUGCCCUCGCGUGGGCAUCGAGGGGGCUCCGGAGGACCUGGGGUCACUACCCCAUAAACAGAAUAUUUACUUAUCCAUUGUUUUGCUUAUACAUAUUAUAUUUAAAUAAUAAAGAUGGCUUUAUAUAGGUGACA